rnacentral:rRNA from 1 species
ACGUACACUCCUGCGGGAGGCAGCAGUGGGGAAUUUUGGACAAUGGGCGAAAGCCUGAUCCAGCCAUGCCGCGUGCAGGAUGAAGGCCUUCGGGUUGUAAACUGCUUUUGUACGGAACGAAACGGCCUUUUCUAAUAAAGAGGGCUAAUGACGGUACCGUAAGAAUAAGCACCGGCUAACUACGUGCCAGCAGCCGCGGUAAUACGUAGGGUGCAAGCGUUAAUCGGAAUUACUGGGCGUAAAGCGUGCGCAGGCGGUUAUGUAAGACAGUUGUGAAAUCCCCGGGCUCAACCUGGGAACUGCAUCUGUGACUGCAUAGCUAGAGUACGGUAGAGGGGGAUGGAAUUCCGCGUGUAGCAGUGAAAUGCGUAGAUAUGCGGAGGAACACCGAUGGCGAAGGCAAUCCCCUGGACCUGUACUGACGCUCAUGCACGAAAGCGUGGGGAGCAAACAGGAUUAGAUACCCGAGUAGUCCCAUG